GAUUUGAAGACCUUAAAUCCGAAGAACUAGGCCAAGGUGAAGCCAUUGCGCACAAUUUAAGGACUAUGUUUGGUUUGAAGGUACCCAUUGUUUCUAUUGUCAAUGGGGAAGGUGGCUCUGGUGGUGCACUUGCCAUUGGCUGUGCUAAUAAAUUGCUAAUGCUCGAAAAUGCAGUAUUCUAUGUUGCCGGUCCGGAGGCAAGUGC